rnacentral:rRNA from 1 species
UACAGAGGGUGCAAGCGUUAAUCGGAAUUACUGGGCGUAAAGAGCUCGUAGGUGGUUUGUCGCGUCGUCUGUGAAAUUCCGGGGCUUAACUCCGGGCGUGCAGGCGAUACGGGCAUAACUUGAGUGCUGUAGGGGAGACUGGAAUUCCUGGUGUAGCGGUGAAAUGCGCAGAUAUCAGGAGGAACACCGAUGGCGAAGGCAGGUCUCUGGGCAGUUACUGACGCUGAGGAGCGAAAGCAUGGGUAGCGAACAGGAUUAGAUACCCCUGUAGU